GCCUGCCGUUGUACAUUAUUACAAACUUUAAUAAACCGUAAUGUUCAUAACACACCAUUGUAGGAAAAGACUAUAAAAAAAUACAUGUUUUUUCAGAUCUUACAGUUGUCUGCGCCAGACCGUAGCGUGAGAGAAAAGACCGCUUCCCCUUGGUUAAAUGGUCCAACAGGAGUGUAUCCACCAGACUUUCCGGUGCAUGAAUAUCCUGUUUCAAUGUGAUGGCAUCCUGUGACAGUUUGAUCUGAGCGCAAGCGUCCAGUUGUAGAGACGACAGCAGAUCGAGCCUGUGGACGGACAGUCCAACAAGUGUGCAUCCCUCAGACCAUCCGGUAGAGGGACAUCCGGUGCCAGUGUGAUCCAGUUGUGGAGACUACAGCACAUCGAGUGUGCGGACGGACAGGUCAGUGUUAGGUUCUAAAUGAACCUAGUAAAGCUCACGGACGAUUACUAAAGCUUAAACAAAGUUAAUUCACCAAUUGGGUUAUACAGCUGCAUAAGACAAAUACAUAUUUCCAACAGUGGCACAAGAAUAUACC
ensembl:lncRNA